GGAGUUGGUGGGUUGGUAAGGGAACACCCUCAUAGAAACAGGGGCAGGGGGAGGAAGGAGAAGAGGCGAUAGGAGGGUUUCAGGGUUGGGGGGGUGCGGAAAUCGGGAAAGAGGAUAAUAUUUGAAAUGUAAAUAAAGAAAAUAUGCAAUAAAAAAAGAAAAAGAAAAGUCCCUAUAACUGUAUCUUAUAGAGUAGAAGUUCCCUCCUUCCAGAUGGCUCUAGCUUGUGUCAAGUUGACAUAAAACGAUCCAAUACAGUUUCUUACACUGAAACUCGAACGGCACAGGCCACCAGCCGAGCUAGUCAACACACAAACUGUUGACCCCACAGUUUUCUGUUUCCUAUGAUCCCGGGGUCACAAACCGGACUGAUAUAGUAGCCAGCAAGGAAUAGCAGCAGCCACCAGAACCUCAAAAAAGUAAACCAUAAGCCCUCCGCACACCGUGGGUCUGGGAGUACUAGCACCUGCAUCUCCAGCAGACACGUGCUGGCCCUACUUUGUGGGCUACAGUUACAGGCUACAUGCUGGGGUGGUAGUAUCCUUGAGAACCAUGUGUUUCAGAACUUGGUAGUUUUCCCUUUUUCAUUGGAAAGUAAUGACAACAAAAACCUCCUCGCAAACUCUACAAAGGACCACAAAGCACUGUGGUUUAUGACUUCCUUUCACUGGACUUCUGGGAAACAAAGAGCACGUGAAACAAAGAAUGCCAGUCUUCAAUUUAAGAAAAACAUCUGGGAGGCUUGAUAGCUGUGGUGGUUUGAAUGAAAGUGGUCCUUAUAGGCUCAUAGGGGGUGGCACUGUUAGGAGGUGUGGCCUUGCUAGAGGAGGUGUGGCCUUGCUGGAGGAGGUGUGGCCUUGCUGGAGGGGUGUGGCUUUGCUGGAGGAGGUGUGGCCUUGUUGGAGGAAGUGUGUCACCAAAGAGUGGGCUUUGAGAUCUCAGGUGUUCAGACCCUAUCCAGUGUCUCUCUCUCUCUCUCUUCCUGCUCCCUGUGCAUCUGGAUAUAGAACUCUCAGCUCCUUCUCCAGCAUCAUGUCUGCUUGCAAGUCAUCGUGUUUCCUACCAUGACAACAGUGGACUUAACCUGGGAAACUGAGGCAGAAGGAGCCCAGUUUUGGUCAAGACUCAUUUUUUAGAAAAGAUCAGAAUAGUUUAGUAGCCUCGAACUUAGAUUUAUUUUACCGACAUACUACACCCUGAAAUGAUGGGCCAUUUUUCUCUAGGGUCUUACAGCACAGUGACAGGGAACCAUGACAGAAAGCCUCCCUGCAGAAGCUCCCACAGGAUAAGGAGAACAGUUUAUGGGAGGAGUGUGUCUCAUCAUUUUCAUGUGACUUUAUUGAGCCAUUUCAGUCUAAAACUCCUCUCUGUGAUUGAGCAUGCCAGAAACAACAAGUUUGCUCCUAGUCACCUCCAUGUCACCUCAGUGCAAGGGACAAAAUAAUGCAAAUGCCCUGGGGACCUUCACCAAAUUUUCAAUUCCUAUUUCUACCAAAACACAUUUUCUAUUCCUUCGAGAAAUACUAAGGGUCUUGAUAAAAUGUGUUGUAUCCAGCAGGAUUAAAACAAGAUGGCACCAGUGAUCACCACGGUAGAAUUGUGUGCAUACAGCCAAAAACAUCCCCUAGGAACUGUUACGGGUCAGAAACAGGUAUAAGCAAUGUGGACAAUGGAGCGGGGUCUCGGGUCUCAGGGAGUGUACACUGAUGGCCAAGUAGGGACUAGACAAUAAAUAAACACACAAAUCCACUUUGGCGGAUCACAAGUGAUCUGGGGGAAAAAAAAAAUCAAACAGCCUCAGGUGAUUUAAAAAACAAAAAGCUGCCUCCAUCACACAGUGAGGUAACAGGAAUCAUAAAAGAUAAGAAAAAGUCAAUCACGUUCAUAAAAUUCCCUGGGCCGGAUAAGGUGCUGCAGCCUCAACCCUACUCAAAGAACAACAGAGUAAAGCUGGUGGUCCUCCCUAGGGAAGAGAACACCAGCUGGUCCUCCACUGCCAAACGGUCAUCCCUGAAAGCACACAUAUGAGUAAUAUUAUAUGGACUCAGCAGGUCAUAUUUAGGAACACACACACAAACAUGUAAACACAAAAUAACAGUUGUUGAAAAAGGAGGCCAUGAAUUUGAAGGAGAAUGGGAAGGGGUAUAUGGGGAGGUUUUGGAGGGGGGAAGGGGAAGGGAGAAAUGUUGUAAUUAAAGUACAAUCUCAAAAUAAACAAAAAAAAAAAAAAAAAAAAAACCUUCCUUAGAGCAGGCUCACUAUGUUAGUGUAUGGUUAGCUCUAAGGAGGACAUUUUCAAUGAUGCAGAAAAGGGGGGAAAUUGAGAGUCAAAAGAAUCAGGUGUUUCUUGGGAAACAGGAUGUGGGAAGGGGGGAGGGUGGCACAGAGGCCUCAGGUUGCCAUCAGAUGCAUCAAGGCAUGUUUCCUGGGUAGGUUACAUUCUGAAUCCUGCCUCUCACCGGUUUCAAACUGGCUGGCUGAGAGAGUCACACCCCAAUGUCAUGAGGUUCUAACCCAGACCGGGUCAUUUCCACGGUGAAGUAAUUAUUUUCAGGUUUGAGCAGCUCUGAGACUCAGCCCCCACAGGAACACAUUUCAAAGACUUGGGCAGUUUGUUCUCCAUCUGUCCGUUUCUGAAGCAACAAAGAGCAACACUGAACUCUUGUGUGUCUGGUCAACGUGGUUAAGCAAAGUUCACUGAGGACUCCUGCUAGGCAGACCCAGGUUAGAGGUUCUUUAUUGAAUCCAACAGAACAAUAGCCAGUACCUCAGCCUUACCCCAAAAAACAGUGAGCUCUAGUCCUCUCCUGUCCUCCAAACCAACCCACUGAUUUCUUUGCAUCAUCCAUUUGUACAGAGUCAACUUCAAAAAAAAAAUUUAUCAAUUCUUUGAAAAGGCCAUACAAUGUUGAUCAGACUUGCCCUCCAUUUCUCCCCCAGCUCAUUCUAGAACCAUCCACUAUCCCCCUGUCCCUCUAUUCAUGCCCUCUGUUUUUAAUAACCCAUCCAGUCCAACUUGUGCUGCCCAUAUACUCCUGGGUAUGGUGCCAUCCACAGAAAUGCAGUUGACCGACUUGGAGUCACACCUUAAAAGGAAACUGAAUCUGUGUUCCACUAAAAGCUGUCAACUAUUCAUAGCAACGUUAGUUGCCCCUAAAACACUUCCUCCUCCAUGCUAGAAUACUGACUGGCUUGAUCUGGUACCCACCUCCUGCAGGCAAGCAAAGCUGUGGUGACUUCAGAAAGACAUUGGUCCUGUCUCAUCUAGAAGGCUCUCUUUCACUUUGGACUUCCUGUGACCUCCAGCUCUUACAGUCUUUCCACCGUGCCUUUCUCAGUGUUCCCUUGAUCAGCAGGUGGUGUUGAUGUGCCAUUUGUGGCUGAGCACCCCACUUAGUGGCUGAGCCUCUACACUUUGACCAGUUCUGAGUUUCUACAUUAAAACCCCGUCCACUGCACCAAGAAACAUCUGCACAGAAUCGGCUUUAAAGAAUUAAAACAACUACACGCAAUUUGCAGAAGAAGCAAAAUCGCAUUACUUGGAUAAAGCAGUGGUACAGGCCAUGGAAGUGAUGGAGACGUCAAGAUCACAGAGAGUCGCAUGACUAUAAGAACCCAAGAGCUGGAGCCUGGGCUCUUCUACGAAGCCUGGGGGAAGAACAGUUCAUUGCUAAAGGAGUAGAGUCCUUUUCUUUAUUUUAUUGUAUUUUUUUUUCAAGACAGGUCUUACUAUGUAGCACUGGCUGUCCUGUAACUCACUAUGUAGACCAGCCUGGCUUUGAACUCACAGAGCUCCUCCGGCUUUAGCCUCCAGAGUGCUGAGAUUAAAGGCAUACAUAACUACAGUUAGCUUUUGGGUGCUUUUCUAUUUUGAUAGGCAGAUUAGGCUAUACAAUCACACCUCUAGUAUGAUUGUCCCUUCCCAUCAUGCAUCAGAUUUUAAUCAUCUGCACACACAAUUGUCAUAGACAUAAGAUGGUAAACAGGAUUCCCUCUAACAGGUUACUGCAGUGCACAGUGCACUGUGCCUUGCUGCCCACGCUCCCACAACUACUUCGGGCCAGAUUGGUCUUUCUGUUCUUCACACCUUGGACAUAUACCAGAAUAGAACCUGUCUCAAUUUAAUUGUUACUAGGAGCAAGGAAACUCGUUUUAUUGUUUGGAGAUGUGAUUACACGCAUCCUGAAGCAGUUUUUGUGGUUGAUAGUGCAUUGUUUGGUGACAGGUGUGUGUGUAUAGCACGCCCUGGUGAAGGAAGUAGGCUUCCCGAUGCACUGCUACACGAGAGAUGUAUAACUUAUAACCAAGUGGGGAUCCUGGGAUACUAAACUCUCUCCUAUGCUUGCUCACAGGCUUGCCAAAAUUCAUGAUUCUCCUGCCUCAGCCUCCCAAAUGCUAGAAUUACAAUCACAAACCAGGAUUACCAGCUACUGACCUAACAGAACACUCAGUAUUCUCACUCUUCUGUAUUUUUCUUUGUUAGUUAGUUAGUUAGUUAGUUAGGUUGGUUGGUUGGUUUGGUUUAGUUUGGUUUAUAUUUGUUCUUGUUUGUUUGUUUGACAGGGUCUCUUUAUGUAUGCCUGACUGUCC
rnacentral:lncRNA from 1 species